GUUGGCUUAGAAGCAGCCACUCAUUUAAAGAGUGCGUAAUAGCUCACUAGUCGAGUGAUUGUGCGCCGAAAAUGUAACGGGGCUAAAAUUCAUACCGAAGCUUAGGCUUUGCACACUUUGUGUGCGAGGGGUAGAUGAGCGUUGUGUAAGUCUGCGAAGCUACACCGAAAGGAGUAGUGGAGAUAUCACAAGUGAGAAUGCCGGAAUGAGUAGCGAGAAUUAUGUGAGAAUCAUAAUGGUCGAAAAUCUAAGGUUUCUUGAGGAAGGUUCGUCCGCUCAAGGUAAGCCGGGAGCUAAGGCGAGGCCGAGAGGCGUAGUCGAUGCACAUACGGUAAAGAUUCCGUAGCCACCGAAGUCGUUAAAUACAGGGACACAGGAACAUAGCCUAACCCCACCGUUGGUUGAGUGGGGCGUAAGGGAGCGAAAAUUAGUAGCGAAGUAGGUGAUUGUACACUGGCGAGAAAAGCUGUAUGAAUUGACCAGGUGCCCGUACCGCAAACCGACACAGGUAGAUGAGGAGAGAAUCCUAAGACCAGCGGGAGAAGUGUUGUUAAGGAACUCGGCAAAAUGACCCCGUAACUUCGGGAUAAGGGGAGCCUACGCGAGUAGGCCGCAGAGAAUAGUCUCAAGCGACUGUUUAGCAAAAACACAGGUCUAUGCUAAAUCGAAAGAUGAUGUAUAUGGGCUGACGCCUGCCCGGUGCUGGAAGGUUAAGGGGAAGUGUUAGAGCAAUCGAAGCACUGAACUUAAGCCCCAGUAAACGGCGGCCGUAACUAUAACGGUCCUAAGGUAGCGAAAUUCCUUGUCAGGUAAGUUCUGACCCGCACGAAUGGCGUAACGACUUGAGAGCUGUCUCAACAACAUACCCGGCGAAAUUGAAGUACUGGUAAAGAUGCCAGUUACCCGUGAUAAGACGGAAAGACCCCAUGGAGCUUUACUGUAACUUGAUAUUGAAUUUUUGUAUUACAUGUACAGGAUAGGUGGGAGACAGAGAACUAAUGCCGCCAGGUGUUAGGGAGUCGAUGUUGGGAUACCACUCUUGUAAUAUGAAGGUUCUAACCUGCACCCGUGAAUCCGGGUGGGGGACACUGUCAGGUGGACAGUUUGACUGGGGCGGUCGCCUCCUAAAAAGUAACGGAGGCGUUCAAAGGUUGGUUCAGCACGGACGGAAAUCGUGCAACGAGUGCAAACGCAUAAACCAGCCUAACUGCGAGACCGACAAGUCGAGCAGUAACGAAAGUUGGAGUUAGUGAUCCGGCGGUAUGAGAGUGGAAUUGCCGUCGCUCAACGGAUAAAAGCUACCCUGGGGAUAACAGGCUGAUCUCCCCCAAGAGUCCACAUCGACGGGGAGGUUUGGCACCUCGAUGUCGGCUCAUCGCAUCCUGGGGCUGUAUUCGGUCCCAAGGGUUUGGCUGUUCGCCAAUUAAAGCGGUACGCGAGCUGGGUUCAGAACGUCGUGAGACAGUUCGGUCCCUAU
rnacentral:rRNA from 1 species